rnacentral:lncRNA from 1 species
AAGGUAGUGCAGCUUGCUGUUUUAUCCCUGAACCUUCACUUGCCACCUCAGUGCCUUGAGUUGGUUGUUUGGUUUUAAAUCAAUGGUGGUUUGCUUGUGCCCCCUUCUGGCUAUGUUAGGCAGUUCUCUUGUUAUAGGUUACGGUUAAAUUCACCAAGCCUAGGCAUGCACUGGUUCUUAUAAUCUACUAUGUAGCUGUCUUAUAUGAGGUGGCUUGGUUGUUUCACUCCAUUUCAAAAAUUAUUGAUUAACCUGUCACUGAUUUUUUGUUUUGUGGUGAUCAUGCAUCAUGAUGUAUUCAGUCUUGUUAGUUUUACUGUGUCUUUGUUUCUUCUUUUCGUUUGACUCAUUUGUAAUUUGAUUUAUGUUUUGUUCAAGACAAAAGUGAUUAGAACCUUUCCAUUAUAUAAGGCCAGGUAAGC